GCUGCCUUAGAGCUUCUAGGGUAACAAAGACGUCCCUCAGGAGGAUCCUGAGACUUACUUCCAGAACAGAGCUUCAGGGCGACCACAGGGCACGGCACCUGUACUACUGCCACUUGAAGGAGCGCGUGCUGAGGUCACAGUGCGCUCACCGGGAGGAAGCCUACUUCCUGCUGGCUGCCUGCGCGCUGCAGGCUGACCUGGGCGAGCACCGGGAGUCGGCCCAUGCCGGGAGGUACUUCGAGCCACACUCCUACUUCCCACAGUGGAUCAUCACCAAGAGGGGGAUUGACUACAUCCUCCGGCACGUGCCUACCCUGCACGGGGAGCGCCAGGGCCUGAGCCCCAAGGAGGCCAUGCUGUGCUUCAUCCAGGAGGCCUGCCGGCUGGAGGAUGUGCCCGUGCACUUCUUCAGGCUGCACAAGGAUAAGAAGGAAGGUCGUCCCACCAUGAUCCUGGGACUGGCCCUCAGGGGAGUGCACAUCUACCAGGAGGUGGACCGUGCUCCGCAGCUGCUGUACGACCUCCCCUGGCCCCACAUUGGGAAGCUGGCAUUUCUGGGAAAGAAGCUAGAGAUCCAGCUGGAUGGGCUGCCCGCAGCACAGAAGCUGGUUUACUACACGGGCUGCACCUGGCGGUCCAGGCACCUGCUGCAGCUGCUGCGCGCCAGCCACCAGCUCCACCUCCGCGUGCGGCCCACUCUGCAACAGCUGCGGCAGCGGGAGGAGGCGGAAGAGAAGCAGCACUACCGGGAGUCCUAUAUCAGCGAUGGGCUGGAGCUGGACCUGGCCAGCAGGAGCUUCCCGGGCAGUGGGGUCAGCAGCCAGCACUGCCCCCGCUGCCUCUCACGCCACUCCGCCGACAGCCACGGCAGUUCCUACACGUCAGGCAUCAAGGCCAACUCCUGGCUCAGGGAAUCCAGAGAGAUGUCUGUGGACGUACCCUUGGAGGUCCACGGGCUCCAUGAGAAGGAGCCGUCCUCCAGCCCCAGGACCAGCUGCAGCCACCCCAGCACACGUGGUGACAGCCAAGCCACUCACCAGGAGCCCUGCACCGAGGUCAGGACCAGAGGCCAGAGCGCCGAGGCCGUGCACCAGAUCCAGGAAAUGAAAGCCGGGGUCAGUGAGGAGCAGCACAGCCACGGCCUGGACGACAUGCAGCUGCACCAGCUGGCCCUGCACCCAGCGCCCGCCUCACUCAGCCAUACCUUCCACCGCGCCCUGGACUGCAGGCUGGCAGGCCCCUGCGAGACCAGGGCCACUCUCCCCAGCAAGAGGUCCAGCAACUGUCUCGCCCUGGACCUGUUCGGAGAGGCCCCACCACAGGAGUUUGUGGUGUAGGCACCACCCACCCAGCAGUACCGUCUGCACCGCCAGGCUCAGCCCCUGCCCACCCCACUUCCACAUGGCCCUCGGCCCUUCCUGCCCGCCAGAUGCUGCCUGCACCUCCGCAGCCAGCACGCUCCACAGGUUCACCUGUAAGAGGUGUGGAGCUGGCUCUGACAUCAACCUGGGAGGUGACAAACAGGUCCCGCACCUCAUGCCUGUCUGCCAUGCACCCGGGAGCUCUUUCCCUCAGGGUCUCAGGGAGCCGGUUCAAGGUCUGGCUGUCAAGUGUCCAGAGAGCCAUGGUGUUGGCCCCUGAGGCAGCCUGUCACCCAUCCUAAUCUGGGAGAGAAGGUGACACAGCUGGGCCAGACCCUGGAGAGAGAGCUCUGCAGUUUCCCACACUACCAGCUCCCCAAGAGACAGUCCCGAUGGGCACAGGCUGCCAGAGCUCCCAAGCUGGAGUUCACAGUCGUCAUCACUGUGCAGGACCCAGGUUCCUCCCAGACCUGAACCCCUCUCUGCAACUCCUGUUUGCAAGCGCUGGGCCUGCCAGACAGAGGCCCCUCUUGUGGUGCAAGCCCAGCUCUGUCACCUGAGAUCCAGCCAGAGACCCUCUUCCACCAUCCACAGUCAAUGGCUGUGCUUUCCCUUCCAAGCCAGGGCUUCCAAAGACCCCACUGCCCCGGAGCUGAAGCCGACUCUGCUCCCAUCUCAGCCAUGAGGCCUCAGGACCCACUCUGCUCACAGGUGGCUUCCUUAAGCCAUUGCCCUGGCGGGGGUUGGGUUGGUGCAGCCCAGCUGGCGGAGGGGCAAGGCUUCGGUGACAGAUGGAGAGUGGGGACUAGCUGUGCCUGGCACCUGCUCUGAUCUGGUGGGCUCCACGGGUAGUGCGACCUCGGUUCUGUGGGCUCUGGAAGGCCACCAGGGUAGGGUCUCCCCAAGGCUCCUCCCCCUGCACAACACUCCUGCACACGUGCAAACCUGCUGUCCUCUGCAUUUAGAGGAAUGGCCCAUGCAUCCCUGCUAGUCUCAGGCCCAUCCCAGAGCACUGAGAGGCCACAAUCGUUCAGCCCUGUGCCCUGAACACCACUGCCCCCUUCACUGUCUGUGUGUGGUGAAGACCACGCCACACCACCCUCCAGCUCACUGGAGACAAGCAUGAGCUUGAGCCCCAUGGCCUGGUGCAGGGCUGCGUGCAUUGAGGCCGCCUCUUUGACGGGUCCAUCCAGGGGGACCCUCUCCUUUCUGUGAAAGGGAAUCGUGUGUGUGCCCCAGGCAUGUGUAAUAAAGAACCCGAGCAGAUGCCUCCUGCUUGAACCAGUACCA
rnacentral:sRNA from 1 species